CGACUCCAUGAAGUCGGAAUCGCUAGUAAUCGUGGAUCAGAAUGCCACGGUGAAUACGUUCCCGGGCCUUGUACACACCGCCCGUCACACCAUGGGAGUGAGUUGCAAAAGAAGUAGGUAGCUUAACCUUCGGGAGGGCGCUUACCACUUUGUGAUUCAUGACUGGGGUGAAGUCGUAACAAGGUAACCGUAGGGGAACCUGCGGUUGGAUCACCUCCUUACCUUAAAGAAGC
rnacentral:rRNA from 1 species